rnacentral:snRNA from 1 species
AGAUGUGGGAGCAAUGUAGCUAUGACGUCUGUCACUCUGUUCAUCACCAGGAUUGAUUCAGGGGAUCUGGCUGGCUAGAUGCAUGCCCCCUCCCUCCCUCGUACUCUAUGGGUGUCCCUCCCAGAGCUGCAAGCUGUUGCUAAUUUCCACAGAACUAUCUAGAAACAUCGUUUUCCUAAGACU